rnacentral:rRNA from 1 species
ACGAACGCUGGCGGCGUGCCAAAUACAUGCAAGUAGAACGCUGAAGAGAGGAGCUUGCUCUUCUUGGAUGAGUUGCGAACGGGUGAGUAACGCGUAGGUAACCUGCCUUGUAGCGGGGGAUAACUAUUGGAAACGAUAGCUAAUACCGCAUAACAAUGGAUGACACAUGUCAUUUAUUUGAAAGGGGCAAUUGCUCCACUACAAGAUGGACCUGCGUUGUAUUAGCUAGUAGGUGAGGUAAUGGCUCACCUAGGCGACGAUACAUAGCCGACCUGAGAGGGUGAUCGGCCACACUGGGACUGAGACACGGCCCAGACUCCUACGGGAGGCAGCAGUAGGGAAUCUUCGGCAAUGGGGGCAACCCUGACCGAGCAACGCCGCGUGAGUGAAGAAGGUUUUCGGAUCGUAAAGCUCUGUUGUAAGUCAAGAACGGGUGUGAGAGUGGAAAGUUCACACUGUGACGGUAGCUUACCAGAAAGGGACGGCUAACUACGUGCCAGCAGCCGCGGUAAUACGUAGGUCCCGAGCGUUGUCCGGAUUUAUUGGGCGUAAAGCGAGCGCAGGCGGUUUGAUAAGUCUGAAGUUAAAGGCUGUGGCUCAACCAUAGUUCGCUUUGGAAACUGUCAAACUUGAGUGCAGAAGGGGAGAGUGGAAUUCCAUGUGUAGCGGUGAAAUGCGUAGAUAUAUGGAGGAACACCGGUGGCGAAAGCGGCUCUCUGGUCUGUAACUGACGCUGAGGCUCGAAAGCGUGGGGAGCGAACAGGAUUAGAUACCCUGGUAGUCCACGCCGUAAACGAUGAGUGCUAGGUGUUGGAUCCUUUCCGGGAUUCAGUGCCGCAGCUAACGCAUUAAGCACUCCGCCUGGGGAGUACGACCGCAAGGUUGAAACUCAAAGGAAUUGACGGGGGCCCGCACAAGCGGUGGAGCAUGUGGUUUAAUUCGAAGCAACGCGAAGAACCUUACCAGGUCUUGACAUCCCGAUGCUAUUUCUAGAGAUAGAAAGUUACUUCGGUACAUCGGUGACAGGUGGUGCAUGGUUGUCGUCAGCUCGUGUCGUGAGAUGUUGGGUUAAGUCCCGCAACGAGCGCAACCCCUAUUGUUAGUUGCCAUCAUUCAGUUGGGCACUCUAGCGAGACUGCCGGUAAUAAACCGGAGGAAGGUGGGGAUGACGUCAAAUCAUCAUGCCCCUUAUGACCUGGGCUACACACGUGCUACAAUGGUUGGUACAACGAGUUGCGAGUCGGUGACGGCGAGCUAAUCUCUUAAAGCCAAUCUCAGUUCGGAUUGUAGGCUGCAACUCGCCUACAUGAAGUCGGAAUCGCUAGUAAUCGCGGAUCAGCACGCCGCGGUGAAUACGUUCCCGGGCCUUGUACACACCGCCCGUCACACCACGAGAGUUUGUAACACCCGAAGUCGGUGAGGUAACCUUUUGGAGCCAGCCGCCUAAGGUGGGACAGAUGAUUGGGGUG